CGGAUCGGAGUCUGCAACCCGACUCCGUGAAGCUGGAUUCGCUGUAAUCGCGCAUCAGCCAUGGCGCGGUGAAUACGUUCCCGGGCCUUGUACACACCGCCCGUCAAGCCAUGGGAGCCGGGGGCACUUGAAGUACGCCGCCGCGAGGAGCGUCCUAGAGUGAAACUGGUGACUGGGGCUAAGUCGUAACAAGGUACC
rnacentral:rRNA from 1 species